AGAGAGAAGAGUUGAAGUCGGUUGGGUUUUGCCUCUGUUCGCACGAGAUUUCCGGAGAAAUUUAAUUCGUGGACUUGAACUUGGAGUUGAUGUUGUAUUUUUGUUGAUUUGAUGCGAUGCGGUUCAAUCUCUAGAAUUUGAUCCUCUGAUUCUCUCUCAACUGUAUGUCUACGCUUGAUUUGGAGGAAGCGGAGCACGUGAUGUUCUUGAAGUUUGUUGAACGUCUACGCUUGAUUUGGAGAAGCGGAGCACGUGAUGUUCUUGAAGUUUGUUGAACGUCUACGCUUGAUUUGGAGAAGCGGAGCACGUGAUGUUCUUGAAGUUUGUUGAAUCUACGCUUGAUUUGAGAAGCGGAGCACGUGAUGUUCUUGAAGUUGUUGAAUGCUACGCUUGAUUUGGAAGCGGAGCACGUGAUGUUCUUGAAGUUGGAGUCUUGGAAGAAAGUUUGUAUCUUCAAAACAGCUUCAAUCUUCGAGGAUGGUCAACUUCAGAAGUUAGGGAGUCUUCUAGCUUUUGGAAGAAUUCUCUCUGGAUCUUCUAGAGUCAAAAUUUUCCAACCCCUGCAAAUGAGGAGAAUUCCUCUAUUUAUAGAGUUCACUGGUGGGCUUUAUGGGUUUGAACUUGGUUGGUCCAUGGACCAGACCCAUGGGCUCAACCAUAUGGACUUAGGUUAUAUUUAGUCUUUGGGCUCAAUUAAGCUUAUUUUUUUGGCUUAAUUGAACUAAAAUGAUUAACUUAAUCCAACGAUUAAUAUGAAAACAUGUGGCAUUAUUAGAAUGACCAAUUUAUUUAUUUUAACUCUUUAAUUUGGGGCAUGUGUCAAUUUUAAUUAGUCCCAAAUUUAAUUAUUUGUACUUUUCAUCAUUAACUUAAUAAAUGAUGUGGCAACUUGUGAUUGGUCUCAAAAUUUCUUAUUCAACAAAUGCCCCCUUUUCGAGAUUUAUGCACGUAUAUGGGUGAAUGAAUCUCGGAAAAGAUAAAUUUGAAGUCAAAGUACGAGCUUUUUUUUUUUUUUCUCAAUUCAGCAUAUCAAAUUAAUCAAACUAUGAAUUUAGUACGUGAGUUUGAUUUAAAUUUAAAAUAAGGGUUGGAAUAUGGCCAAACCUUAAAAAAAAUUCAAAGUUUUAUUUCCCACUUAAUUUUAUUUGAGGGGAAAAAAAAAUUAAUAUGAUGAUUUUUUUUUUUAAAGUAAAAUUUGGAAUAUAACCAAAAUUUUAAUUUUGAAAUAAGGAUAAGGUUUCUACCGUACCUUAAUUUAUCUUGGGAUGCAUAAGAAUUUGGAAUGACCAAUUUUAAUUUGAGAUAAAAAAAUCAGGUCCUCAAUCUUAGGUAAAGUUGGAUUUAUGGCUCCGAUUUAAAUUCAUGAUAAAAAGGAGGUCAUAUAUGCAAGUUAAUUUAACUUGAAUUUUGAAAUUGAGAAUAUUUAUAUAUAUAUAUGUAUAUAUUUUUAAAAAUGUUGAAAUUUUUAAAUAUUUUAAAUAUCUCAAUAAAAGUUAAACUUGAGAUUUAUCCAAAAAAAAAGAAAUAAUUUAAAAUAAAAUAAGAUAAUUGGAUUAUCUUUUCUUUAUAUAUAUAUAUAUUUUUAAAAAUCAUUCCUAUUCCUUUUAGGAAUUGGAUUUGUUUUUUUUUAAAAAAAUAAUUAAAUAUCAUUCCUAAUCCUUUUAGGAAUUGGAUUUGUUGGGCUAUAAAUAGACUCAUACUACUCACUUAUACCUCAUCCAACGCUUAUUCCUCAUCAAAUCGGCAGAAAGGUAUAGAAAACUUUUCUUCUCCCUUUCUUUUUUUUUUUUUCUCUUUUUUUUUGUGUGUGUGUUUUUUUUUCUGUUUUGUUUUGUUUUUUUGUUUGUUUUUUUUUUGUAUUUUUGUUUUUGUUUUUUUUUUUUUUGCAGGAAUGACUUUGUCGAGCUUCUUCUAGGGACGAUCGGGCUUCUGCCGUCAGAUCUAUCGCCCUAGUAGGAGAGAUCGACUCUGUCAUCGUCGGGCUUCGAUCUUCGUUUGCAGAAAUGACUUUGUUGAGCUUCUUCUAGGGACGAUCGGGCUUUUGCCGUCAGAUCUAUCGCCCUAGUUGGAGAGAUCGACUCUGUCAUCGUCGGGCUUCAAUCUUCGUUUGCAGAAAUGACUUUGUUGAGCUUCUUCUAGGGACGAUCGGGCUUUUGCCGUCAGAUCUAUCGCCCUAGUAGGAGAGAUCGACUCUGUCAUCGUCGGGCUUCGAUCUUCGUUUGCAGAAAUGACUUUGUUGAGCUUCUUCUAGGGACGAUCGGGCUUUUGCCGUCAGAUCUAUCGCCCUAGUAGGAGAGAUCGACUCUGUCAUCGUGGGCUUCAAUCUUCGUUUGCAGAAAUGACUUUGUUGAGCUUCUUCUAGGGACGAUCGGGCUUUUGCCGUCAGAUCUAUCGCCCUAGUAGGAGAGAUCGACUCUGUCAUCGUCGGGCUUCAAUCUUCGUUUGCAGAAAUGACUUUGUUGAGCUUCUUCUAGGGACGAUCGGGCUUUUGCCGUCAGAUCUAUCGCCCUAGUAGGAGAGAUCGACUCUGUCAUCGUCGGGCUUCGAUCUUCGUUAUCACCAAUUGAGCUUCUUCGUUUUUUUUUUCUUCUUCUUCUUAUUCUUCUUUCUUUUUGUUUUUUCUUCUUUUGCUUCUUUCUUUUUUGUUUUCUUCUCUUCUUCUUUCUUUUGUUUUUUUGUUUUUUUUUUGUUUUUGUUUUUUUUUUUCUUUUUCUUCUUUCUUUUUGCUUUUUUUUUCUUUCUUCUUCCUUCUUUCUUCUUCAUCAUUUUCUUCUUUCUUCUUCUUGCUUCUCCUUUUUUUUUCUUUCUUUCUUGGUUGUGGUACUAGGGAGAAGAUGAAGAUGAAUCAUCUAGCUUGCGACACCUUAGAGCUGAUGAAAAUGAAUUCCAUCGGCCGGGUUGCGACACCUGUUAGAUGAUAAAGAUGAAUACUCUCAGCUACGACAUAUAGGAGAAGAUGAAGAUGAAUCCUCUCGGCUAUGACAUAUGGGAGGAGAUGAAGAUGAAUUCUCUUCAGUUGCAGCACUUGGAAGAAGAUGAAGAUGAAUCCUCUCAGCUAUGACAUAUGAGAGAAGAUGAAGAUGAAUCCUCUCGGCUAUGACAUAUGAAAGGAGAUGAAUCCUCUCGACUAUGACAUAUGGGAGGAGAUGAAGAUGAAUCCUAUUCAAUUGCAGCACCUGGGAGAAGAUGAAGAUAAAUCCUCUCGGCUAUGACAUAGGAGAAGAUGAAGAUGAAUCCUCUCGGCUAUGACAUAUGAGAGAAGAUGAAUCAUUUUCGAUUGCAGCACCUGGGAGAAGAUGAAGAUGAAUCUUCUCAGCUAUGACAUAUAAGAGAAGAUGAAGAUGAAUCCUCUUUGAUUGUAGCACCUAGAAGAAGAUGAAGGUGAAUCCUUCCGGCUACGACAUAUGAAAGAAGAUGAAGAUGAAUUCUCUUUGGUUGCAACUCCUAAAAGAAGAUGAAGAUGAAUCUUCUUUGGUUGCGACACCUGAAAGAAGAUGAAGGUGAAUCUUCUCGGUUGCGACUCUUAGGAGAAGAUGAAGAUGAAUCUUCUCAGUUGCAAUUCCAAUGAGAAGAUGAAGAUGAAUCCUCUCGGUUGUAGCACCUAGAAGAAGAUGAAGGUGAAUCCUUCCGGCUACGUCAUAUGAAAGAAGAUGAAGAUGAAUCCUCUUUGGUUGCAGCACCUGGAAGAAGAUAAAGAUGAAUCUUCUUUGGUUGCGACACCUGAAAGAAGAUGAAGGUGAAUCUUCUCAGUUGCAAUUCUUAGGAGAAGAUGAAGAUGAAUCCUCUCGGUUGCAACACAUAGGAGAAGACAAAGAUGAAUCCUCUCACUUGCGACACCUUAGAGCAGAUGAAGAUGAAUCAUCUUCGGUUGUUACACCUGAGAGAAGAUGAAAAUGAAUCUUCUUGAUUGCGACUCCUAGGUGAAGAUGAAGAUGAAUCAUCUCGGUUGUAACACAUGGAGGAAGACAAAGAUGAAUCCUCUCACUUGCGACACCUUAGAGCAGAUGAAGAUGAAUCAUCUUCGAUUGCAAAACUUAGAAGACGAUGAAGAUGAAUCCUCUUCGGUUGCAAUAAGCUGAAGAUGAAGCAGAGGUUAAAGCUUUAGCAUUGCAUGCAUCUUCUUCAAGAGGCAGAAACGAUGUUACACUGUCGUUUUCAUCUUGGAGAGGCGAAGGCAGAGCUGCCGAUCGUCGUCCUAUCAAAGUUGUACCAUCGUUAUCCUCUCAAAGAGCUGGAGCUGCAGCAUCGAUGAAGCCUUCAAACUUGAAUAUAAGGAAUCAUCAAUGAAACUUUUAUGCUUGAAUUUGAGGGAUCAUUAAUGAUGCCUUUGAGCUUGAUUUUGAGAUUCUUUUUUUUUUUCUUUUUACAUGCACUCAACUUGUACAUAGUCUUUGCACGGAGUUUGUACAUCUUCAAUUUAUUUCAUCUCAUUGUUACUAAAGAUGAACAUCUUGAAUUUAGGGAUUUGCCCCCAAUUUGUUAUGAUUCCUUAGUAGAGAUGAACACCCUUUGAAGAAAAGAAUUAACUCACGACGUAGUUCAAGGUUUUUUUUUUUUUUUAUAAUGGUGGACUGAACUUAAAGUUUUCUUUAAGUUGCCUACGUACCCUUUAUAAUGUAAGGAUCAAGUCAUAACGUAGUUCAACUUUUUGCUGGACUGGCUUAAGGUUUUCCUUAAGCUGCCUACGUACCCUUUAUAAUAUAGGAUCAGUCAUAACGUAGUUCAACUUUUUUUGCUGGACUGGGCUUAAGGUUUUCCUUAAGCUGCCUACGUACCCUUUAUAAUAUAGGGAUCAAGUCAUAACGUAGUUCAACCUUUUUUUUUUUGCUGGACUGGGCUUAAGGUUUUCCUUAAGCUGCCUACGUACCCUUUAUAAUAUAGGGAUCAAGUCAUAACGUAGUUCAACUUUUUUUUUUUGCUGGACUGGGCUUAAGGUUCCUUAAGCUGCCUACGUACCCUUUAUAACAUAGGGAUCAAGUCAUAACGUAGUUCAACUUUUUUUUUUUGCUGACUGGGCUUAAGGUUUCCUUAAGCUGCCUACGUACCCUUUAUAACAUAGGGAUCAAGUCAUAACGUAGUUCAACUUUUUUUUUUUUUUGCUAACAAAAUUAAGCAUAAAAUUUUUUAAGAAAUUUACCAUUGAUUGGGCCAAUUCGUAGUCCGUCUUGAUCAACGAUCUUGUAUGCGCCAUUUGUAUAAACUUCUUUAACAAUGUAGGUCCAUCCCAUUUAGGUGUGAACUUAUUUCCUGUAUGCCUUGUUGUGAUGAUCGGUCUCCUUACGGCAAGUACUAGAUCACCGACUUGAAAGGAGCGAGGUUUAACGUGUUUAUCAAAAGCUUUGGACAUUCUCGCUUGAUAACAUUCCAAUGCUUGCUGAGCCUCUAAUCGCUUUUCGUCAAGUGCUUCUAAUUCUUGAAGACGUAACUUCACAUUAUCUUCGGUAGUCAAUCCCUCUUGUACUGCCAUUCUUAGUGACGGAAUCUCCCUUUCGAGAGGAAGGACAGCCUCCACACCGUAAACAAGCGAAUAUGGUGUAACCCCUGUAGGGGUGCGAUGAGUCGUCCGAUAAGCCCAUAAUGCCUCGCCGAUCUUUUCUUGCCAAUCCCUCUUUGACUUGGAGACAAUUUUCUUUAAAGAUUACACAAUGUUUGUUGAAUGCUUCUGCUAGUCCAUUCGCAGCUGCGUUGUACAUGGAUGACUUAUAUUGCUUGAAUUUGAAUUUUUCACAAUAACUUGUCCAUCAUACUAUUGGAGAAUUGCUUUCCAUUAUCCGUCACGAUUCGAUGUGGAAUACCGUAUCGAUAGAUGAUGUGUGUUCGAAUAAAGUCUGCCACGUUCUCCUUCUUGGCUUCUCUCAAUGAAAUGGCCUCAGCCCACCUUGAAAAAUAGUCUGUUGCUGCUAGGAUAUAAGAAUGUCCUGCUGAUGAUUUUGGUGUAAUGGGGCCAACCAGAUCGAGUCCCCAAGCCUCAAAAGGCCAAGAAGCCACAGUUGGAUGAAGAGGUUCUGGAGGUUGGUGUAUGAAGUUUGCAUGGUAUUGACAAGGCUCACACUUCUUCACAUAGUCUAUUGAAUCUUGGAUCAUCUUAGGCCAGUAGUAGCCCAUUCUUCUUAGCUGGAAUUGAAGCUUUGUCCCGAUUGAUGUGCUCCACAAACACCUGCAUGUACUUCCUUUAGAGCUUUUACCGAAUCUUCCUUUCCGAGACAUCGAAGGAAGAGCCCUUCAAGAGAACGGCGAUAUAAAGUUCCCUUGUAAUAAAUGAAGUGUGCUGCCCUUCUUCGUAUCUCAAUUUUAUGACGAGAAUCCUUUGGAAGCUUUCCAUGUUCAAGAUACUCUAUGAUGGGUUGACGCCAAUCUUCUUCAUCAAUCAAAUAGGAUGUUGCCAUGUUCACUUCCUGACAUUCAGGCCUAACUGGGGGUAUAAUCCAUCGUUGACAAAGUGGUAUGUUCAGAGUUACAUCAUCUGGCAUGGUCAAGGCCGUGGCUAAAUUUGCCAAUGCAUCCGCUCUCUUAUUUUCUACUCUAGGGACAUGUUCUAACAUCACAUUAUCAAACUUUUCCAUCAAUUGUCGAGCAUAAGCAAAAUAUGGCUUCAAGUCUUCAUGUUUCACGUCAUAUUGAAGCGAGAGUUGAUUGAUUAUCAAUUUUGAAUCACCAUAGACCUCUAUGAAUGACACUCCGAUUUCUAAUGCUAUUUGAAGGCCAAUUAUCAAAGCCUGAUAUUCAGCCACAUUGUUUGAACACAAUUCGGAAAGUGCAAAGCUAUAAGGCAACAUAUGCUUCUCAGGAGAAAUGAGGACAAUGCCUGCCCCCGCACCACUUCUUCGAGCUGCACCAUCGAAGUACAUAGUCCAAGGUUCCAUAACUUCUGUGAAGAAAACCUCAUCGUCUGGUAGGUCAUCACAUAACUUCCAAUCCGAAGGAAUUGGGUGGUCUGCUAAAAAGUCUGCUAGCGCUUGUCCUUUUAUCGCCUUUUGGGGAAUAUAGACAAUGUCAUAUUGUUGGAGUAGAACCGCCCAUUUGGCUAAGCGUCCAGCGAUGAUUGGCCUGGAUAGAACAUACUUUAUAGGGUCUGCUUUUGCCACUAGAUGAACCGUGAAGGCCUGCAUAUAAUGCCUCAACUUAUCAAUGGCAAAGAAAAGUGCAAGACACAUCUUUUCGAUAGGAGAAUAGUUAACUUCAGCCCCAAUUAAUGUUCUGCUUAGAUAGUAGAGAGAACGCUCCUUUCCCUUUACCUCUUCUUGUGCCAGUAAUGCUCCUAAGGACCUUUCUUGUGCAGCAAUGUACAAUAUUAGUGGUUUGUCAGGUACUGGAGCUCCCAGCACUGGGGAGUAAGCAAGUAUUUCUUUAUGCUAUCAAAAGCGUUCUGACAAGCUUCAUCCCACACAAAAUUUUCUCCUUUUCUCAUCAACUUUUGAAAAGGUUGACACCGACCGGCCAAGUUAGAGAUGAACCUUCGGAUGUAAGCCAUCGUCCUUGGAGACUUCUUAGGUCAUGCAAACUUUUAGGUCUUGACAUCUUCUGAAUGGCAUCAAUCUUGGACUGGUCUAUUUCGAUCCCUCGAUGCCUUACAAUGAAGCCAAGAAAUUUUCCUGAAGUUACACCAAACGCACACUUGAGAGGGUUCAUCCUUAGCUGAUAUUUUCGCAAGCGAUCAAACACGACUUUUAGAUCCUUCAAAUGGUCUUGUCGUCUCUUUGUUUUGACUACAAGAUCAUCAACAUAACAUUCAACAUACCUGUGCAACAUAUCAUCAAACACUUUCUGCAUGGCACGUUGAUAAGUAGCGCCGGCAUUUUUCAAUCCAAAGGGCAUCACCUUGUAACAGUAUAUUCCCUUUGGAGUUCUGAAAGCUGUCAUUUCUUCAUCUGAGAGGGCCAUCCGUAUUUGAUUAUAUCCAGACGACCCAUCCAUAAACGACAACGCCUCGUGUCCAGUAGUUGCAUCAACCAUGAUUUCGGUGAUGGGCAAGGGAAAAUCAUCUUUAGGGCAUGCAUUAUUCAGAUCGCGAAAGUCUACACAAACGCGAAGUUGUCCAUUUUUUUUCUAACAGGGACAAUGUUUGCUAUCCACGUUGGAUAUUUGACCUCGCGAAUGAAUCCUGCUUCGAUCAACUUGUUGACUUCCACCUCGAUUUGAGGGAUAAGCUCCGGUCGAAAACGUCGUUGUGCUUGUUUAAUCGGUCGAUAUCCGGGUUUAAUUGCAAGAUGAUGGACUGCUACUUUUGGGUCAAGUCCUGGCAUCUCCUUGUACGACCACGCAAAGAUGUCCCUGUAUUCGGUGAGCAAACUCAUAUAUUUAUCCACCUCUUCAUUAGAGAGGGACGCACUAAUGAAAGUCGGACGUGGUUCCUCUAUUGUACCAAGGUUCACCUCUUUUAGCUCGUCUACAGUAGAUUGCCACCAUCCUCUAAACUUUGUGGGGCAUUUUCUGCGUCUUCUUCAUGAGUUCCAGUCUCUGAUUCCUCAAUAAUGGUGAUGUGAUGACAUGAAGUUUCACUUCCCCUUGUUCCGACCCUUCUUUUUCAGGAUUCGUUAGUAUAACAUCAUGUCUUUUUACCUUUAACGAACCUUGACUUGUAUUGAGAGUAACAAAAGUUUUUCUUUUCAUGCGAGAAGGAACGUUGCUAUGAAUUUCUCCAUUUUCCUUUGUCUCGCAAGGAAACUUCUUACUACGAUAAUUAUCGACAUCUGUAUGCUUAAUUCGACGCCAAACUUUCACACGAGACAUUGGUUCCUUCUUCUUUGUAUCUAUGUUGGAAUCAAUGUUGUCGUGUGAUCCUUUAUCCCGAGAUGAUUAAAAAUCGGAGCACGGGGUGCUUGUACAUUUUUCUUUUUAGACACACCUAGCCUUUCAAAGGCUGAUGGUCUUGUAGUUGUCAAGGCAUGGCAUGUGCUUUCUUCCUUUAUGGGAGUCGUAGUUAGCCUUCGAAAGACCGAAUGUCUCUCAAGGUUUGGUACUGACUGGAGCCUUUCUCUUUCUGCCUCUGUCAUGCUUAGCCUUUCAAAUACUACGGGACGUGCAACAGAUGGUCUAAUUCGAUCAAAUACUGAGAUUCUCUGAUUAUCACCUUCUUUUACGUCAGUAUUGUCAUCCUCCUCUAUAGUUAUAUGAUUGAUGUCAACCACUUUUUCCUUCCCCUUUUUAGUUAUACGGAUCGGUUCUGGCGACUUGUAUCCGAGUCCUUUUCUCGACACGGGUAUAGAAUGUCCUUCCCGUAGAAGCUUCUUUUGAGUUGAGGAGAGCUCAGGUCGGUCAUGAAUUUCCAAGCUUUUAAACUCGGUGUGAGCUGUGAAGUCAUAACCUGCUUUCGCCAUCAAUUUGUAAGCCUUGGGGUCGAAUCCGUCUUUCGUUCGCCUUUGGGGCAAGUUUGCUUCCACCAGAUCUACCUUUACCUCUUGCUUCGCUAUCUUAGUUAGUGGUGUAGUGAAGCUUUCUUUUAUGAUUUCGAUGUCACCAACUUUCAAACCUUUUGGAGACUCCAUGAAUGGUGAUUCGCCUUUCUUGCGCCUUGACAGAGGGACAUAACGCAAAACAAAACUGGUGUGUUUGCAGCAUUUUCAUCCUUCAAGAUCAUACCCUUUGUGCUGCUAGUGUAUGCUUCACCCUUUCCAGAGUUAAAGGUUCUCGCACUUUCAUGUGGUUCUGUGGUUGCGAGUGAUUUCAAUUGUGAAUUAUCUUCUCCUUUUGUAAGAGGGGUUUCUGCAGGCAAAACUUCUAAAAUAUUAUUAUUCUUUGAAUAAAACUUUGCAUCUGCGAAGUGAGACUCAGCUUCUGAGAAUGGAUUAGAGUCGGCUUCAACCUUCUUUACACCCGUCCUGAUAAAAUUUGACAGCACUGAUGCAGUGUUGAAGUUACUACUCCGUUUCCAUGAAUCAAGGACGCCCUAGUAACAACUUGUAAGUAGUCCUUGAGUCUAUGACAUGAAACAAUGCACUGGCCUUUAGGUCGCCAAUUAUGAGUUCUAACCGUAUCAUGCCUAUUGCUCUUUUGGCUACCUUGGUUAAAACCUAUGAAUUACUAGCUUGCUAUUUGAGAGCUCGUCCAUCAAGAUGCCUAAUUGCCACAUAGUCGACUUUGGCAUUAUGUUGACAGCUGAGCCAUUAUCAAUGAGGAUUCGAUCGACUCUCUGUUCUCGAACGUAUCCAGAAACAUACAAAGGUCUAUUAUGAAGUUUAGAUCCCAACAACAAAUCCUCAUCUGAGAAGUCUAUAGACAUACAAUAAGAACCACUCUCAUAUGUCAUAGUCGGAGUACUCGAACUUGAUGCUCUUGAAUUUAGCAAUGCAUCAAUAAGGAUGGUUUUGGUCUCUUGAGGAAGUGAUAAUAGAUCCUCUACAUUAAACCUUGAAAGGUCUUUUGAUACUCCCUCUCCUUCUAGUGAUCUUGGAGGGAUUAUUUCUUCCUCCGUUGUGUUGAUAGCAUGACACGCAACGACUUCUGGGUCUUCAUCCUGAUGAUCACAAAGGAAGCUUUUUGGAAGGAAGUCUGCCAAGGUCACUAAGCGUUGAGGUCGAGAGAAAUUCAUGUCUUCAUUAUGUACGAGCUUAAGCUUAUGAGUCUUCUUCUUUUUCUUAUUCUUUUGAGUCUUAUUUCCUCUUCUAUAGUUUUGGUAAGAGCGAGACUCUCUUUGGGUCGGGAUCGACUGUCUUUUCUUUCGGUGGGUCACCACUAUCCACCCUUCAUCGUCUUCUUCAAUUGGUCUUUUCUCUCCUUGAGGAUCCUCGUAUGAGAUUUCCUGAAAGAAUUGGACAACUAUAGGCUCAAAGGUCCCGAACUGGACCAAGCUUUUCCUUUGCUCAAAAAUCAAUCUCGACGAAGAAGCCUCAGACAUUAUCGUCACUUCAGCGUGGUUUGUUUGAGCUACUUCCUCCAAAUCUAGCUCAAUCCUUUUCUCACGAGCCAACCUUAGAAUUAGCUCCUUCAGCACGAAGCAUUUCUCUACUGGAUGACUGAUGACCCGAUGAUACUUGCAGUAAUUGGGAUCAUCUACCUUUCCUGCUUGCUCAGGUCGUUUACAUUCUGGCAGCUGGAUCAGCUGCUUCUCUAGUAGUUGCUCUAGCAUGUCAGCGAUAUCUGAAUCAGGAAAUGGGUAAACUUUUUCCUGCCUUUCUUUUAAAGUCAGACGUCGCCUUUCGCUUCCAUCAUCCUUCUUUUCAACCCUCGCUUCCUUUCCUUUGGAGAAUUUCAGCGGGGUUGUGUUUACGACCAUAGAUUCUUUCGAGGUGCUUUUCACUAUCUUUUCAGCACCUUUCAUCUCUUUCUUAUCUUUCUUUACUUCAGGAACAAGAAAAUCUUUAGUUCCUCUACUGGCGAUGCUCAACUCCAUAUCAUGAGCUCGAGUUGCCAGUUCUUCAAAUGUGCGGGGCUUUAUUCCUGCAAAAUGUAGAGGAGUCCCCAGUGCAUGCCUUGGGUGCACAUUUCUACAGCCGACAGUUCGGUGAGCCGAUCUUUACAGUCAAGACUUAGAGCUCUCCAUCUAUUGAUGUAGUCGAUGACUGGUUCUCCCUUUCUUUGUUUCGUAUUUGUAAGCUCCAUCAUGCUUACAGUACGCCUGGUGCUGUAGAAGCGAUUGAGAAACUCCUUUUCUAGUUGUUCCCAACUCUCAAUGCUUUCUGGCUCCAGAUCAGUAUACCAUUCAAAAGCAUUUCCUUUCAAGCUUCGAACAAAUUGUCUGACUAGUUGAUCUCCUCUUGAUCCUGCAUUCUCACAUGUUUCGACGAAGUGAGCAACGUGCUGUUUUGGAUUGCCCUUUCCGUCAAACUGCUGGAAUUUUGGAGGCUGAUAUCCAAGCGGCAUUCUCAAGUUGUCGAUUCUUUUGGUGUAUGGUUUAGAGUACAUGAAAGAAGUCUGAGAUGGGCCUCCAUAUUGUGCUCUGAUGGAGUUGUGAUCAUAUCUUGUAAUUGUUGAACCGAGAGAGAAGCCACAGAAGUUGAUUGUUGUUGUGGCUGAUUUUCUUGUACCACGUUCUUCCCUUUGUCAUCAACUUUAACGACAGGAGUUUGACUCGAUUCAGCAGUUUCACGAGUCUGCAUCUGCUCCUUUAAAGCUGCAAUUUCGUGGUCUCGUUCAUCAACAACCUUCAUCAGGAGAUUAAUUUUUCUCUCCAUCUCCGCCAUGGCAGUCUCGACUGCUACAUCAGCCAUCAUGACGGACAUCACAUCUGGGUGUGCUUCUUUCAGUGACCUGCUAGAGGCAGAAUCAUAAUCAUUAUAUAGAGGAUUUUCCUUGAUGACAAUUCCAGCUUUAGGAGAUUCCAUCAAUUGCUUCAGGAUGCUCUGCGCGAUGGCGGAACCUUGGUCUUGCCCUUGGAUGAUCCCCUUGGAACGACUACGGGUGAUAGGUCCCGUGUAGGUGUCGCUUGCAGCUGAAGAUUUGGAUGCAGCUUUCUUUGAUGCCAUUGAUUUGCUUGUAGAUCUAGAUGAUGAGAGAGAGAUGAGAGGUAGAGAUGGUCCCACUGGGCGUGCCAAUUUGUUCGCACGAGAUUUCCGGAGAAAUUUAAUUCGUGGACUUGAACUUGGAGUUGAUGUUGUAUUUUUGUUGAUUUGAUGCGAUGCGGUUCAAUCUCUAGAAUUUGAUCCUCUGAUUCUCUCUCAACUGUAUGUCUACGCUUGAUUUGGAGGAAGCGGAGCACGUGAUGUUCUUGAAGUUUGUUGAACGUCUACGCUUGAUUUGGAGACGGAGCACGUGAUGUUCUUGAAGUUUGUUGAACGUCUACGCUUGAUUUGGAGAGGCGGAGCACGUGAUUUUCUUCAAGUUGGUUGAAUGCUUUACGCUUGAUUUGAGGAAGCGGAGCACGUGAUGUUCUUGAAGUUUGUUGAACGUCUACGCUUGAUUUGGAGAAGCGGAGCACGUGAUUUUCUUCAAGUUGGAGUCUUGGAAGAAAGUUUGUAUCUUCAAAACAGCUUCAAUCUUCGAGGAUGGUCAACUUCAGAAGUUAGGGAGUCUUCUAGCUUUUGGAAGAAUUCUCUCUGGAUCUUCUAGAGUCAAAAUUUUCCAACCCCUGCAAAUGAGGAGAAUUCCUCUAUUUAUAGAGUUCACUGGUGGGCUUUAUGGGUUUGAACUUGGUUAGUCCAUGGACCAGACCCAUGGGCUCAACCAUAUGGACUUAGGUUAUAUUUAGUCUUUGGGCUCAAUUAAGCUUAUUUUUUUGGCUUAAUUGAACUAAAAUGAUUAACUUAAUCCAAC
rnacentral:lncRNA from 1 species